rnacentral:lncRNA from 1 species
GUUAGAUUUUCUUUUCUUUUCUUUUUUAGAUUGGGUUUUUUCUUUUCUUUUUAGAUUAGAUUUUAAUUUUGUUGUUCUGUUUCUUUUUCUUGUUAAAGAAUUUUUGUAAAUGAAGAUGGAUCAAGCUUUUGGGUGCCAUUGGUUCCACAUCUAAAUGAGCAUUUCUAACCAUUACCUUUAUAUUGUGCAUAUCAAUUAUUCGAUAAGAUGUCUAUUUGGGUGUUAAGCUUUAUUAUGUGCUGAUAUUGCUUGUUGGUUAAUUGAUGAAUUGAUUAUUAAACUAAGUUAAUAUCUAUGCUUGAUUUUUUUGGUUGUUCUUUUAUGUCAAAAUGCUUAAUACGC